ACUUAUGAAGUUGUCGACUCCAGUUGAAUCUACAAAGACAACAUGAAUAUAAGCAUCCAUCAUAGGACAAGAGAGUACAACUCUUAUAGAAACUUUCAACAUUGAGCAUUACCUAUCACUACAUGCGUCGAUAAGAGAAACAACUACAUAGCAGAGCACAAAUGUAGAAUAACAGCAUCACCGUAACAUCCACUUGGUCUACAAUAUUGAAACUUUUUAUAAAUUACAACUCUUGUAUCAUUGCUCUUUAGAAAAUUUACCUGGAUAUAAAUAAGUAAUCUACAAGGAAAUUAUUGAAUAAGUAAUCAUAAGUAAUAAUCGAGAUGAAUGAAACUUAAGAAUCCAUUAGUAGUUCACUGUCAAUAAGGUUGGAAGAAACGUUAUCCGACAAGAACUGAAAAAUUUCCAUCUUAAGGAGUCAAACACUUUCAAUCUACAAAUAUCAUAAAUAAGACAGUUUUCAUGUGUAAUCCACUUCAGUUAACGAAGCCAAGAAAUAUUAAGGUACUAGGAAAAUGAAACUAGAACAACUUGUAUCAUUUAUGGCUUAACAAAAAUAAAGGUCUCCUAGUUUCUUAUCCAAAAAAUGCUCUACCAAUGAGUACGACAUAAAAUCCAUGACAAUUUACACAAGUAGCAAUUUAGCAAUAGCAAUAAGUACAGACAUAACACCCAUGACAAUUUACACAAGUAGCAAUAGCCAACCAGUACAAGCAUACUAUCCAUGAUAAAAAAAAAAAAAAAAAAAGGUAUCUAUUACUCUUAAUCCUAUAAUAUGAACGACAUUAACUAAGAAGGGACCAUUGACAUGUACCUGAUGUUCUAAUUCCAUGGAGAUCGAAGUCCCGAAUGAGCUUCCAUAAGUUAACAUCCUACAAUACAAUACAUUUUAGUCAAAUCAUAUAGCAACUCAUUAAACAUAUAGAGAAGGACUUCCAACUGACAUUUGGAAAAGAGUUGGGUUGAUCAAUUUUUGUGGCAUGGGGAGCAAUGUUAUCUUGAGCAAAUUGUUUAACACUUUCUUUGAACUGCAAUCAAUUAAUCAAGAAUUUUGAUAUAUUGACAUUAUAAAUGAAACUACAUACAAAUCAUUGUUGUAAUAAACUAAUUUGAACCAUUUACUAUCAUUUAAAUAAAGCGAGAGAGAAAAGAGGAAGCCUUAAAAGCAAGAUUCUUAAUAUAUCCUCAUAAAAAAAAAAAAAAAACUUGUUCAAGUGUCAAAGUCGACAAAAAAAAAAAAAAAAAAACUGCAACUGACAAAAACGAAAGAACUAUGAUUAUUUGAUGAUGUUUGGUUCAAUAAGUAGGAAUGUAGCUCGUAACCUUUUCUCAUUUUCUCCAACUGCCAGAACAUUCAGGACAUUUUUUAAAGAUUCACAACACUCUAUCACUUCACAUUUCAUGUACUCAUCUGCAUAAAUGUGCUUCCAUAGGUCAGAAUCUCUGGAUCGAAAUUCAACAGCCAUAUCCAAUGCUAUUGGAAUCUGUAGCAGUAGAAAAAUUGUUAACAGUUGCUAUAAGUAUGCCUAAAAAUUAAAAGAAAACAUAAAUGGGCUAUAUUGACCUUGCUGGCUAGUAAAAAGGGAGGCAUUUGGAUUAUUUUUAGGCUGGGAUCUGAGGAAUAAGGAACUAGCAAGAGAUCCAUCUCCCUGUUUCAUUUGAAAAUUCAGUUUAGUUUUAAAAUUAUAAUUAGAAGGAUGCUUGGAAUGAAAAUUUCUAAUUUUUAGGCAAGAGUUCUAAUAAACUCUAUGGUCGUGUCUCCUAAUCCUCCGUUUCUAACUUUAUUGUUUUCCCUAAGAGAUUUGACAAGAUACUUUUAUCUGAUAUUGAAGAAAUUUCACCAAUUGUGGGCUGCAAAUAGUUCAAACAGAACUAGUAUUGGAAUAUAUAGAAUAUACAAAAUACCCUAGCCCAUAAGAAACAAAAGAAAUCCAAAACAUAGAAGAAGCAAAAGUCAUUAAAAGAAAUGGAUGAAGUGCAAACAUACACAAGACAACUAGCAGUAACUACCACAAUAUGCUUAUGAACCAACAACUGAAGUAACCUAACUAAUAACAAAGUCAACCUAUCACAAAAGCACAAGUUUUCAUUUUUCAACCAAUAGAGGCAUGCCUGCAAAUAACCAUCAUCUUUUGUAGACUUUAGAAAGAUGUCUGACAAAGCAGACAAUAACUUAGGAGAAGAGGACUUAAGUAUAGUCCGGAAAAUAUGAGACUACAUUUUUCAACUAAAAGGCUAAUUCCUUAGACAUCAUGUAAAUCAAGUCCCUUUGGAUUGCAUAAACAUGGCACCAACUCCAUUGCUGAAUGAAUAAAACAUAAACUACCUUAAUAAAGCAUAAAUUUACCCAAAUGCAAUCUCGUGAAUUAAUUGCAACAUCUUUAGAGAACAUAAAGGGGCUAUAUUGACCUUGGGAAAGACAAUUUGAAUGAAUAAAUCAUAAACUACCUUAAUAAGUUCAUCAGAUGCAACGUAUCCUAUCGCUUCUUCAAGACUCAUAUCUGCAUUUAAGUUUAGAAUUAGAUGUUAGUGUGAGUAAUUAUACUUAGGAAAAGAUAAUAAAGCUUUUCAGCCUACUCGUGCCCUGACAUUCUAGAACUGAAUUCUACAUCUUGGAUACUGGAUUCACAAUAACACUAAAAUAUAUACAAUUGGAACUCAAUGUAGAAAUAACAUACAAGUCGAGGUGGAGAUAGCUUCACGUUUUCAUCUUUGCAAGCAGAACGGAUAUUGGUAAGUUUUCUUUAGUUCUUACAAGAUUAACCUAGAAAAAAGAAAAUUGCUUACCAUGUAAAUCAAGUAGAAAUUACAACUUCGAUCCAAAGUCUAAACAUAAAGUUCUCAACUUACAUCUAGAUCUGAUUCCCUAGAAUGUUCUCCAAUAAUCAUUCCAUCAUAAGUCUGGAACAUAAAUUAUCAGGAAAACUGAAGCAGAACAUUUUCGAGGACCCAUAUAUUAUCUACAAUGAAAAGAUAGUGGAUCCUCAGUCUAAUGGAGACAACAAAAUAUACAUUUAGACCAACUCAUAGCAUAAAAGAUAAUAGGUCUAUGAAUCAAAUGAUUUCAGGGUAUCAAAAAUAGCUCCUAAACAAACGUAUAUAUAAUUGAACAUCCACGCUUCCUGCCUAUGAAAACAGGGAAACAAUUAAUUCACGAGAUGGAACAUUUUGAGCAACUUCUAUCCAAAAGGAGGAAAGAGGGGUGGAAAGUGUACACUAAAAAACCAUUAUGCACCAUAUAGAUGAAUUGACAUGACUUAGCUACAAAUACUUGUGCAAACUGCAAAAUGACAGCAACUAGCACAAUAAAAACAAAUCAAACAAUUUUCUAAAUGGUGAAUUGCCAAUUGCCAAACUAAACUUCAUUACAACAAGUCUAAUAUACUAAGUUAAAAAUAGGCUUCAACGUGUGUAACAAUCAGAUCAUAGAACACACUCGCACAAUGCAAAAGAAAAAGAAAAAAACUUUUAAAGCUUCAGACACAUAUUGUCAAACACCUUACAAGCACAAACUAAUAUCAUAUUUUCUCAUAAUCUCACCAAAAAAAAAUCUUGUUUAAGUUUCAAGAUAGAAUUGAUUGAUGAUGUUCUUUUCUAGAAGAUUUCAAGAAAUAAAUAAGAGAAUACUUCAACUUUUCUGCAUGAUUCCAAAAUCCCAUCAAUCAAGAAAUCUUGUUGUAAUCCCACAAGGAAAGCUUAUGUUCUUCCUCCGUCCACAGUACAACAAGAUAAAACCUAACGAAAAUCCUAAAUGUAUUAAGUGAAAAUCCCCACAAAUUAUCAGUCAUUUACACAACUACACCAAAUCAUAUCUUAAAAUCACAAGGUAAGAAAAAAUGGAUAUGUUGCUGUUGAUCAGUAUCAUCAUCAUCAAGUUACUGUUUGAAAUCAUUUUCUUUAAGCUUCACUCUUGAUUUUGUUUGAGAUUUAUGAGGAAAUAAAACAGGAGGCUCUUGAUCUUAUGGGUUAAAGAUUGAAUUCAUAGCUUGAUCCCAUAGUUUCAACCAUAACUUAAAGUACUCUAAAACAUGAACUUAGGAUCUUGAUCUUAUGGGUUAACGAUUGAACUCAUAGAUUAGAGUGUGAGAAUGACUUUCUUUUUUGCAUAAAAGGGAAAACAAUGGUAAUGGUGAACAACAUUUUCUCUUCGAUGCUUUGUUUUUCAUUUCCAUCUUCUUUGUACAUUCUUAGAAGAAAUUGUUAUUUAUGAUUAUUGUACAAGUGUGAGUAUGUUUAUAGAUGUUUUUUUAUGGGUAUUAAAAAUAUGCUACUUCGGUAUCACUUAGGUCUUCAUAAGAUUACUCAUUGCCUCUUAAGAGUAUGGAACUUGUCAAUUUUGCUAGGUUUCGUCUUGCUACAACAAUGGAGGAUUUCUAGAGGGUCAAAGGUGAACAUUGAAACUAUGGAAGCACCCUAUGUUUUCUUAAUACUGAAAUUUUUAGUCAUAUAUAUAUAUUUUGCUAAGUUGGACAAAGGUUUUAACAAGACAAAAGGGAGUCUUAUAAGUUAUGUACUCAUUUCAUGUUUUGGUUUUUAGGCACAGUAAAAAGGAUACUUCCUUUUGGUUUUAUUUUGGUUUGAGUUUGUUGUUAUCUUGUUGUUAGGGUAACAAUUGAGUUAUCUUUUGUAGAUUUAUUUUCUUGGAUGUGGGAUGAAAUAUAGGUGGGGACUUAUGUGUAUAUUUUCUAAAAUGUAAAAUGUAGGUUUUGGUUGUCAUUGUUUUGGUUUUUGUAGAGAAAAGUUCGUGAGUUAAGUUUUGUUUUUGUAAGUUCGAUUAAGAGUUAUGUUUGAAAGUUGCUAUAUGUUUUGGUUGUAAAGAAAGGUUCAUAAACAUACGUUUAGAAUUUAAGUUUAGAUUGUUUUCUUGGACAUGGGAUGAAACAUAAUUUUGUUUUUGUAAGUUCAUAUUAUUUAUUCAUCUUCUUUUUUCAGAUUUCUUCAGCCACUCUUCCAAUUUUUCUUUCUUCUACUAAAUUCAUAUUAUUUUUCUUUAUUUUUUGAUCAUCUCUUUCUUUCUUUCACCACUCUUCCAGAAUAUCAAGAUUGCUUAAAUAUCACUUUGAUAUGAUCUAAAUGAUCACUUAUCUAGUCAACAUGAUCAACAAGAUCGUUUAGCAUUACAUGCCAAUACAAUCGUUUAGAUUUGAAACCAUUUUUCCAUCGUUAAAAAAGAACUACACGAUCGCGUAGAUAUGAUCUAAACAAUCACUUACCAUAGUUAACAUGAUCGUUUAGGAUGAUUACUACAAUCAUUUAGAUUUGAAGUCAUUUUUCUAAAUAACUACACAAUUAUGUGGAUAUGAUCUAAACGAUCGCUUACCAUAGUCAAUAUGAUCGUAGCAGUCAUUUAGAUUUGAAGCAUUUUUUUCAUCAUUAAAAAAGCUACACGAUUGUGUUGAUACUAUCUACAUAAUUGUGUAUCAUUUUCUACACUAUCACGUAUUAUGAUCGUUGAUUGUGUAAUAUUUUUUACACGAUCAGAUAUCAAGAUUGUUUAGAAAAAGAAUUACACGUACAUGUGUGAUCGAUCAAUCGAGUGUUGGCUGAAACAUAUUUUAUAUUUUUUAUUAUGGACUUAUUGAAUUUUUUUUGUUUACAAAAUAGCAGUAGAAUGUAAAUAUUGUAGAGGUUGGUUAUAUUUUUGGAAACACAUCAAAAACUAAAUUUGAGAAAAGAAAUUCAUAUCAAUGCCGACAGAAAACGGCUACUAAAAACCGGAGAAAAGCUAUAAUGAUAAUAAAGCCACACUAAUUUAUUAACGUUUUCUCCUAAGAAAACAAAUAUACUAACGUCGUUUUCCUUACGGUUGGAAGUUAGAACCCCGUCAAGCGUAACGGAGCUACGGGAACUAGAAACGGGAUACUUGCAGCUACCGACACUCAUAUCCAAGCCUCUACCUUCGGAUCCCGAGCCUGAGCUCCGAAUUUACACUCGCAGCUUUCUCCACUGAACCCGAAUCCCCCUCCCUGGCCCUUUCUCAGUGGUGACUGAUGGCUCAUCACUGCGUCUUUACUCCCACUAUCCCCAUUCACAUUUCUUCUUCCCUUCUCUUUCUCACUCCCACAGAAGGGAAAGUUCUUCUUCACAAUCUCUCUGGUUUUUCUCCUCCAAUUCCCAAUUUUAAGUAAUUCAGUUUGUAUUUUCCAUUGUUUCUUAGCGAAACUCAUCUGGGGUUUUCAUCUCUUUAACUUCUGAAUUUCUUGUUCAACCCUCGAAUUUCCAUUGCGACCCACCCAUCUUUCGUUACUCCUUUUGAAAGAUGAUGCACGCCAAAUCCGAUUCGGAUGUGACGAGUUUAGCUCCAUCCUCGCCUAGGUCACCGAAGCGGCCACUCUACUAUGUGCAAAGCCCUUCGAGAGAUUCUCACGAUGGCGACAAAUCUUCCACCCAUGCCACUCCUGCCUUCAACAGCCCCAUGGAAAGCCCUUCUCAUCCAUCUUAUACUCGCCACUCUCGCUCCUCGUCGGCGAGUCGGUUUUCCGGUACGUUUCGAUCCUCUCUUGGCCGGAAAGGUAGCCGGAAACGCAACGAUAAAGGGUGGCCAGAGUGUAAUGUGAUUGAAGAAGAGGGGGACUAUGAUGAUCUAAAUGGAGAUAAAGGGUUAACUAGAAGAUGCCAGAUUCUGAUGAUUUUGCUUGCUUUUGUUUUUAUCUUCUUGUUGUUCUGUUUGAUCAUUUGGGGUGCUAGCCGACCUUUCAAAGCAGAGAUCAAACUCAAGGUUGUGUUUCUAACUCUAUAUAUACUCUGAAACUAUAUAAAAUUAUUAGAAUAUUGAUUUGUUUUGUUGUAGUUGAUUAGAAUAAUAUUUGCCUAUAGUUGUGAAUAUUUUAAGACUUCUCUGGCGUGUAGGAUCUUUGUGAAGAAUUGAUACUAUCUUUAACAACUUCAUAUAUAUUUCUAUUUUCAUUCUUCUUUUGUCUAACUAUGGUUUUGGCUGCUGCACCAUAACUUCUCAGUUAAGGAUUUGAUGAUUGAAGUUAUUUGGUUGUCAAUGUAUGAGAAGUGAUUUUUGUUUCAUUGUUUUUAUCCUCUUUCUCUUACAGAGCAUGACCGUUCAUAAUGUAUAUUUUGGAGAAGGAUCAGACACAACAGGAGUUCCAACCAAAUUACUGACUAUCAACUGUUCAUUAAGGAUCACUGUUCACAAUCCUGCAACUUUCUUUGGCAUUCAUGUCAGUUCCUCCCCCAUCAAUCUUAUGUACUCCCAGAUUGCAGUUGCCUCUGGUCAGGUAAAAUUCCUAACGACAAACUUCCAUAAAAUAAGGCACUAAGAAACUGAAAUGGAGACUGAUCCACAGGAAAGGGAAAAUAUAUGAGAUCUUUUCUUACUUUGCAGUUGAAGAAAUACUAUCAACCGAGACAGAGCAAUCGAAUCAAAUUGGUGAAUCUUCAAGGGAACAAGGUGCCACUAUAUGGGGCUGGAGCAACCCUUGAAGCCUUGGAUAAAAAUGGAAACAUUCCUAUGAUGUUGGUGUUUGAAGUACAUUCAAGAGGGAAUGUGGUAGGGAAACUAGUAAGAUCAAAGCAUAGAAGGCGUGUAUCGUGUUCUUUGGAGAUUGACUCUCGCAACUCGAAGCCUAUGAAGAUUAAAGCUGAUUCAUGUACAUAUGAUUGAGACAUUAGAAUCUCCAUCUUGCAUCCUUCUUUUCAUUGGAAGGGAAAGAUUCUACCUGUAGGGGAUCAAACUAUGGUUGUAAAAAUAGGCUGUUGACUUAGUUCUUUCUUCUUGACAGCAAUGGAAUAAAUAAGGAAAAAAAAAAAGAUGAGUGGAUCAGUUUAUGGACAUACUAUUUUUAUUACAACUACUUUCCAUAAAACAAUAGAGCAUGCGCAAUUAUGGUACAAUUAUUUGACAAAAUGAAAUGAUAUGUUCUUUAUGCUUCUAACAAGACAACAUUGUUUUAUAAAUUAAAGCACUUUACUGCCUAUUGAAAAGGAAAAUGGAGCUAGCAGUUUAACGAUGUUUUCUUAAAUAUACUUUUUGUGGAUAAGAUAGUUAAAUCACAAAUAAAAAUUGAAAAAAAAAUGAAUGUGUUUUUACUUUUUAUUAUCAUAAAAGAGAAUACUAAAGUUUUUUUUCAUAAAGUUUUCUUUUGGAACACAUAAACAAAAUAGUAAAUUUAACUUUUGUUUUCAUCCAAUAUCACUCUACAUUGGAAUUAACUUACCUCAACCCACUCAACCCACACUAGAAUGUUAUUUCAUUUGUCCUCCCAGUAAAAAUUGGUAAUUAGACAGAAAAAAUAAAGAGGUUAGAGACCGCUGAAUAAAUGAAAUGCUUAAGCUUAAGAUUUUUUUUUUCUUUGCGUGAGAGUUAUCCAACUUGAGUUAUGGGGAAAAUAAUGAGUUUUUUUUUCAAAAGAAAAACAAAAGAAUAAGAAAAAAUUAUUUAAAUCAUAGUCUAAUUGAUUUAAUAAUCUAUGGAUCUAUUUGACAUUAAUUAGAAUUAUAUACAUAACUUUGAAUUUCCUCGAGCCCUACGAGGAGAAAACUUAAAUUCUACUUUGGUCUCUAAAUGUAAGACUUGUACUUAAGUUAAGAAGUAAAUUGUUGAUUAAAUGUUUAAGAGAAGGCAUUUUGAUUAGUUUUCAUGGUAAGAGGUUGGUGAUUUGAAGUAGUAUGAGAGAAAACAAGGUUAUGUGGUAAGGACUUCUCGACGUUUAAGUAAUUAUAUGCGAUUGAGAUACUACGCCAAAUGAAAGACUUGGUGAGAAGAAGUAAGAAAACUUCUAAGAAAUUUUCUAAGUUUGGUUAAUGGGCCACAUGUAGAGUUUAAGUUAAAGUAGGAUUAAAUUAAACCUUAAGCUUACACGUGCACAAUACAGGUAGGAGUUGGUGAGAGUUGGUGAGCUGACAAUAGUUUAAAGAUAGAGAGUGCCAUAUGUGGAUUUCUUUGUCUUCAUAUAACAUAUAAGGUAUGGACAAUAUAGCAAAAAUGUAGCAUUAACGAAUUUUCUAGUCUGGCCGAGUCCUCGAAAGAAGUUUUUAUGGGAUCCCUAUCUACCAAAAUUUUGACUUCUGGUUCCGGCGAACGAAUAAUCAUUGAGUCCUCCUCUUUCCGGACAACACAUACAAAGAGACCCGCCAAUAGUUAAGUAAUUAGUGAACCUAUGAGAGAUUUUUCUACUUAGUUUCUUUCUCUGCUAUCUCCCAUCUAUUUUAUUUUUUUUUAUUUAGUUAUUCACUAGAGCAAUUAUGAUCUAGAAGUUGAUCCGGGGCAAGUGUUCGGAUCUAUUAUGACAUAGCCAUGAGGCGCUCAACGGACCUUUUGAAUCUUAUAAAACCUUUUUCCGGGUUUUGAAUUGACACAAAUUCAAUUUUUUUGUAGAACCUAAUGUAUUCACAUAUCUCGAUUAGAAGUUCCUAAAUGGAACUACUUUAUGUCUUACAUAGAACAUAUUUCGUAGUCUUUCAUAACAGAAAUAUUGUUAAGAGUCUUCUGUCGUGAAAACAAAAAAGUUUGUGACGCUGAAAGAGGCCUUCGCAAUAAAUCAGCUACAAUUGGAAAUGCCUUUUAUCUCAUACUACUCUUUCGAUACAUAACCUAAUGGUUUAGAAAAAAAAAAAAAGAAAAAAAUUCUCAUAUCGAAUUCAAAGUGCCAUGCUAUUAUUACUUAAUAUUUUAUAUCGCGAAGGCAUAGUUUUUUGUCUAAAAAAAAAAAACUCAUUGGCGCCGAGCGUGAGGGAAUGCUAGACGUUUGGUAAUUUCUCCUCCGACUAGAAUAAAAGAUCCCAUUGAAGCGGCUAAUCCAAUACAUAUUGUAUGGACAUCUGGUGACACAAAUUGCAUAGUAUCAAAAAGACCUACUCCGGGUAUUACCGAUCCACCGGGAGAGUUUAUAAAUAAAUACUGAUCUUUGGUACCAUCCUCUAUACUGAGAUAUACCAUAAGACCCAUAAUUUGAUUCGAGAUCUCAUUAUUAACAUCUUGGCCUAAAAAAAGUAAUCUUUGUCGAUAAAGUCGGUUGAUUAGGAUAAAAUUGUAUCCCGUAAGAAGCGUACAAGUAUUAGAAAAAUUCUAUAUUUGUGUGAAUCGUUAUUGGUUUGAUACCAAUAAUAGCAGUCGUUUUAGUAUGCUAAGGAUCCAUAUGUAUCCACAAUUGAAAAUUCGUUAAUGCUACAUUUUUGCUAUAUUGCCCGUACCAUAUAUGGUAUAUGAAGACAAAGAAAUACACAUAUGGCACUCUCUUAGAUUCUGAUAGACGAUAUUAAUUCAAUGACGUAUCUAUUCGAUUUAGAAAUGAAUCCAGAAAAUAUUCUUAUUUCAUUUUAAAUUCAAAUUUGCAGUCUAAAUAUUUUUUGUGCAUGCAGAAAUAUACCAGACUUUUGUAUACCUAUCUAAAUACAAUUUUCAAAAAUUGAAUUGCUAAAUUUUAUAAAAAAAAAAAAAAGAAAUUCUUAAUCAAAGUAAGAUUAUUGUGUAUAUCAAAUUAAAAUGAGUAACAUUAUUAUUACUGAUCACUAAUAAUUUAUAAAAAAAAUAAAAAAAGGAGGCUAAGGAGAUUUCAUUUUAUGGUAAAAAAUUCAUUCAGCUCAGUUAUUUCGCAAGAAGAAAAAAAAGAAAAUGGAGGAUCCGUUGAAUUUCAAGUAGUCAGUUUCACCAAUAAGAUACGAAGACUUACUUCACAUUUGGAAUUGCACAAAAAAGACUAUUUAUCUCAAAGAGGUCUACGUAAAAUUCUCGGAAAACGCCAACGAUUACUUUCUUAUUUAUGAAUAUUACUUGCAUGAAUGAUUUGGCCAAUCAUGAAUUGGUUAUGAAACCAUGUAAAUGAGAAUUUUACUAAAAAUUCUCAAGAGAUACUAAAAAAAUUCAUUAAUCUCUAUAUGAAUGUUCAUUUGGUAAGAGUUGAUCAACAUAAUAUUCCACUUUCUUAGUUAGAAUCUUGCCUGGUGAAGUAACUGUGUUUUAGAUGUAUACAUAGGUAAAGCCGUGUGCAAUGAAAAAUGCAAGCACGGUUUGGGGAGGGAUUUUUUUUACUUAUUUUUUUUUUAAGUAAAUUAUCGACUCCAUCCGACUAGUUCCGGGUUCGAGUCCCGGGCAACCCAUAUUAAUGAUGAUAGUGAACUAAUUUAUCAUAUCAAAAUAAUCUAUCAAGUCUAAUUCGAUUUUUUAAUGAAUGAAAAGAAUUAAAUAAAAAAAAGAAAGAUUAAUCUAGAUAACUAAUAAAAGCAUAGAUAUAUAUUGGAAAAUUGCCAAAAAUAGGUAAAAAAUGGGGUAGAAAAUGAGUUUUAGGAUUGAUUUUAAAAAAGUUGAGAUUUAUGACAAAUUUGGAGUGAAAUGUCCAGAAUACCCUUAUUUAAUUUUACUUCACAUUUGUCUCUUCUCUUCCAACCUCUCUUCAACGUAUAGUACGUAAAGGAGAAAAAAAAACAAAAAAAACCCAUUUGCAGUUCUUCUCCUCUCUAAAAAAUUUGUCAACUUUCUGCUUUACUCCGGUGUCGUUCAUCCUCUACUCCGGUGAACAUCUCACGCACUGUGGUUUGUUUUAAUUUUUUUUUAAUUCGAAUCGUGUUGUGUUAUAUGUAUAUAUAUUUGCAUCUUAUAUGUAUAAAUCAAAUAUAAUUUUUAAUUGUUUCAAGUUGAUUUAGGGUUGUUUUAGAGUUGUUUCAAAGGAUGUUAGCAAGUUAUUAAUUUUUUUUUUUAUCUCGCAAACAUCUCGCAGACAUCUCGUAGGUUCUUAAAUUCAAAUGUUUAAUCUCAAAUGAAUUGAUUUAGGGUGACUUUUAACUAUUGUUUUAUGUAUCUCGCAAUAUCGUAAACAUUUCGUAGCUGUCAAACUUUAAAUGUCCAAGACUGAAUUAGUUAUAUACUUAUUUAGGAUGUGACUAUGCACGUUUUAUUUAGUGUUUAGCUACUAUUUUUUAAUUUCGUAAAAUAAGUCAAUAAACUUUUUUUAUGUGAUAUGUCAAAUUCUAACUUCAAAUCAGUUUUUGCAGCAAUUAAAAAGUAUAAGGUGGUUUAAGGAUGUCACAUGUUCGGAUGUUAGUGUGUUACGAUGGUACAUGGGAUGAUGAGCGAAGAAAAUACGAAGAAGGCAUGUUAAAAGGCAUCGUUGUCAGUAAAGAAAUAACACAUAAAGAUUUACAGGCAUAAUUAUAUGACCUUGCAGAAGUUGACCCUACAAAGUUCGACAUAAUGAUAAGAUGCAUAUAUGAAAUAAAAGUGGAACACGAAGCUCCUCCAUUUGAGUUAAGCAAUGACCGUGAUUUGAAGUUUUAUCUUCUUAGUGAAAAUCCACUAGAGGUCCCUUUAUGCGUCUCAUUUGAGCCUAAAAGUAAUCAAAGCAAAAAAAUGUUAAACAAAGAUUACAAUUUAGUAUCUGAGAGCAACCAAGCUCAUAACUUAAACCCUCAUCCUCCAAUUGCAAUGAAUACAUUAAAUGAGAAUGUAGUUCAUGUUUGUGAAGUUGAAGUUGGUUUGUGUGAUAACAUGAUAGGGACCACUUCGGCUAUAUGGGAAUCAUAUGAGUCAUAUGAUUCGAAAGAUAAUACUUUUCCAUGGGAGCCAGUUGAGAUGAAUAAUGAAUCAUUUGACAUCCCACAACAUAGAGAUGCUCCUACAAAAGAUUGCAAAGGAAAAUCUAAAGUUCAUUACAGCUCUUCUAGCCGAAAGUUGAAGACAGAAAGAAGUGAUUGGUCUAAAGAAAGCUCUACAAGUGAGGAGUUUGAUGUACGACAAAUAUUUUUUUCCAAAAGAGAUUUGCCAAUGAGAUUAAGUGUCUUGGCGAUGAAAUUUUUUUUUCAGUUUGUAGUAAAAAAGUCUACAAAAAAGGUUCUUUUUAUUAGAUGCAUUGACAACAAGUGUGGUUGGAGACUGCGAGUGAUGAGAUUGAAGGAUUCAAAUAUAUUCAAGAUUAAAAAGUAUGUCAAAGUUCAUUCGUGUUCUCUUGAGUUUUUGAAUCGUGAUCAUAGGUAAGCAAAAUCUUGGGUUGUUGGAGAAUUAAUAAAGUCAAAAUUCAAUGGAGUCGGUCGUCUAUACAAAUCAUGUGAUAUCAUUGAAGACAUGAGGCAAGACUAUGGCAUAAAUAUGAGUUAUGAAAAAGCAUGGCGUGCUAGAGAAAAUGCGUAUGAACGAGUGUGAGGGUGUCCUGAAGAGUCAUAUAAUCUAUUGCUUAGAUAUGGUGAAGCUCUCAAACUUGCAAAUCUAGGUACAAUAUUUCACAUGGAACUUGAAGAUGAUCGUUUCUUUAAAUAUCUUUUUAUAGCUGUUGGUCCAUGUGUUCGAGGAUUCUUAAACUACAUUAGACCGAUUAUAGUUAUGGAUGGAACAUUCCUUAAGAACAAAUAUCGAGGUCAGUUGAUAGUUGUUGUUUGCUUGGAUGGUAACAAUCAAAUUUAUCCUCUUGCCUUUGGAGUGGUGGACAGAGAAACAGAUGCUUCAAUACAGUGGUUCUUAGAGAAAUUGAAAGGUGCAAUAGGGGAGGUGCCUAAUCUAGGCUUCGUGACAGAUCGAAAAAUAUGUUUUUCUAAGGGUAUUUCAUCGGUUUUUCCCUCCGCAUUCCAUGGACUUUGUGUCCAACAUUUGACUCAAAAUUUGAAUGAUAAAUAUAAGAAUGACAUUGUAGCUACUUUGUUUUACAAUGCAUCUAGAACAUAUCGUGAAUCAACGUUCUCAGAAGCGUGGAGAAGUAUUCUUGCAUUUCCUAAUGGUUCAGGAAAAUAUUUAAACGAUGUUGGAAUAACACGAUGGUCUCGUUUUCACUGUCCAGGAAGACGAUAUAAUAUGAUGACAACAAAUAUAGCAGAGUCCAUGAAUUCUAUACUGAAAGAACCUAGAGAUUUGCCUAUUGCUUCAUUCCUUGAACAUGUUCGAGCUUUGCUACAACGUUGGUUUUGGGAGCGUCGAGAAGAAGGCAUUAAAGUGACGUCUAUAUUGACUAAAUGGGCAGAGUUAGUUUACCAAAGAAACAAGAACGAGCUUUGAUAAUGAAGGUCAACCCAAUUGAUUGUUACCAAUUCCAUGUUAAAGAUUUAGAUAAAAAGGAGGUCGUAAAUCUUCAUACUCAAGAGUGCAUUUGUAAGGAGUUUCAAGCUGAGCAACUACCAUGCGCACAUGCCAUUGCUGUUGCACGGGAUCGCAAUAUAAAUGUUUAUAGCUUAUGUGCUAACUAUUACACUAAUGUAUGUUUGAUGGCAGCAUAUUCGGAGGCCGUCUACCCAGUUGGGAAUCAGUCGGAAUGGAAGACAAGUGAAGAAUAUGUACAUAUGACUAUCUUACCUCCGAAAGUAGUCAAAAGAGUUGGUCGACUGAAGAAAAAGAGGAUUCCAAGUGUCGGUGAAGCACCGAAAUUGCAUAAAUGUGUUCGAUGUAAAGAAAUAGGCCACAAUAGAUCAACAUGUACCAAUCCAAUUUCAUACAUCGAGAAGUCGAGCAUACAAGAUUAGUCCUCGUCUUGGUAUGUAGUAUUACUUUUAUACUUGCUUGGUUUGUGCUUGAGUUGUUUGCAUGAUCACAAUGUAAAAAAGAUUCCUUGUUUUAAUGUAGGUGGAAGAUGAUUAUAAAAAUGUAUCCUGAGUUGUUUGCAAGAUCACUAAAGUCAUCUCACUGACAAAUCUAAUUUGAAGAUUUUCCUUCUGCAACUUCAAGACUUUCCUUCUCUUUUUAUUUAUCCUACUGUGAACAUUUUAUAGAAUAUUUACUUAUUGUAUUUUUUUUCACAAUGUUUGUAUUACUUUGCGUGUAACAACCAUUUUAUAUGGUAUUUGGUUUUAUCUUAGUGGAAUUGCAUGUCCUUUCAACUUACUCUGGUUUUGUAAGUUUCCCUUUCUCUUUGCUAUCUAAUUGACAUUCUCUCCUUCAUCUUCAUCUUCAGUUUUCAUUUAUUUUGUUAUAUUAAAACAAUAUUUUGAUUGUUAUAGAAACUGGGGUUUAUUUUGUUUUUCUUUCCUUUUUCCCCCCCUUAAAAAUAGAAGCUUUAAUCAUAGUUUAUGAAAUGCAUCAACAAAUGGAGAAGAUAUGUAUAACUUGAGUAAUGACUAAUAACUAGUGACUAGUGGGAACAUAGAGUAACCAAAUUGUUGACUAAAGUCUGGCUAGCUUGUGGUGCAAAUUGUGACCUUGCUGUUGUUGGACAUUAGGGGAUCUGUUGCAGAAGGUUUUCCUGUCACUCCUUGAGUGACGAGGGCUGGAACUUGAGGAAACUGAGAUUUCUCAUUCUGUUGGGAUAAGCCAACUCCACGUUGUGUAACGAAUUUGUUUGAGAGACCAUAAUUAUAUGAACCUAAAUGCUGUAUUUUCUAAAGGAUUUCUUCCAAUGGAGGUGGAGGUCCAGACAGCUUUACUACAAAAAUUAACAUAAAAUAUCAUGCUAUUGCCAGUAUUUGAAAAAGGAAUGUGAUGAAAGCAGAGGCAUGGCCCCCUGUGCCUAUAAUAAAAUGAGAUGAAAGCAUUAUUUCAAUUAAGUCUCCAAAGAACGAAGCAGAGCCAUGGCCCCCUGUGCCAUGUAUUUGAAAAAUGAAUGUGGGAAACUGAAGGUCAAAAGUUAAAAAGCAUAUAUAAGGUUCUCCUUCGUUCAACUUUAGCUUUUUGGUAGUGGUGGUAAUUUCCAAGUCUAUUUCCAAGCAACUUUUAUUCAACAGUUCUGCAGAUUAAGCUCAAAUAAAUAUACUCUUAUAGCCUAGCUGAUUCUGAUGUUUUCAUGUCACAUCCCCUUUUUGGAGAGUUUUCUUUUCUUUUUCUUUUUCUUUUUUUUCCCUAUGACAUCAAGACAGUCUAACAUAAUUUCAAAAUCAACAUGGAAAAAAGCAAACAUGGUUGUGUUUCCUUCUGAACAUGUAAAAGGAAAAAAAAUCAGCAAAAAACUUUCAUAAUAUAAAAUGGAAAAAAAGACUAUUGUUUUUGUCUCUAAAAAAGAUGAUCAUGAAUAAAAAAAAUGUAAAGUGCAAGGAACCAUGGCAAAAUGAUCCAAAAAAGAUCAGCAAUGUGCCUACUUCCUACCACUUAAUCACACAACAAGCUGACAAAAUGAUUCUUCAGCCAAAGCCAAAAAAGUUGGUUUGAUACCAGAUUUUUAAUUAUAUCUCUCUCACUUCAACACCAAAAUUAAUUAUGGUUGGUUUCAUUUCUUUCUCUAACCAAACCCAAAUGAUGUUGAUCCAUAGCAGUAGCCCCUAAAAAUGCAAGAUAACCACAUCUCAAAUGAUGCUUAUGGGAUUGUACAUACUGCACACUUGAAUUUUUUUCCAAAGAAUAAAAUAAAAAUUUCAAAACCAUAAAAUAACAAUGGUAUUCAUUCCAUUAUAUAAAUGUAUUUAUGUACAUAGUUCGCAACAUAUACGAUAUACAAUUCCUUCAAAAUUUGCAACUAAAAGUCAAUACAUAGGAUUGUUGAUCCAUAAUUGAAAUGCCAAUUGUUUUCUAAAAUAUGACAUGUUUUCUUGACAUAAUGUAGCUACAUCUAAACCAGAAGCUUCGUAUUCGAAAUACUUAAUGGUAAAUACACCACAAUCAUUAUUUUUGCGUUGUAGUGGAAUGGAGUCAACAAUGACAAGUGGCCAAGGUUCCUUGUGUGUUGAUGAUCCAUUCUCCUAGCAAAGAAUCCAGUAGUAUCUAGCAAAUUUGGCACCAUCUCUCGAAUCGACAUUAAUAUUCUUCUCAUAUCUUCGGCACUCGUAAGCGACGGAAGUGAAUCCCAUACCUUGACUUGACAACUUACCAAGUCCAAGCAUAAUAGAAUCCAAUGAUUGCCAUGAAUAUUGAAUGGAGAGUAAAUGUAAUCAACAUUUGUCCAAGGAUCUUGAAAGUCUUGUUUUGAUCCGACAACAUAGUCAACCAAUCGAUACUCCUCCUUCUAGUGAAAUGGCCGAUUCUCUUUAUACAUUCUUGGUAUUCAUGCCACUUCACAACUAAUAGUCUCUGCAAAGAAAAAAAAAUACACAUGUAUAUGUAUUUAUGUCAGACCGAAAUAUAAUAAGACAAUAAGACAAAUAUCAAAAGCAAAUUCAUAACAUAAAGUAUGGUUGCGAAUACAAACCAUGAAGAGUGUGUCUACAGUUGUGAAGUUUUGAGUAGAAGGUAUCAUGGCUAUUCUAAACUUGAAGCGAAUGAGAAGAAAGAGUGCAUCAAAAUGCUAAUAAAAACAAAAGAAAAUAUUUAAUACUUUUUCGGUUUUGAGAUCAAACCAACUUCCUAAAAGCUAUUAUUUUUAGUUAACAAAGAAAUAAGAUUGAAGGUAGAAGUAGUAUUGAUAGGUUUGAUUUUAAAAAACAAACAUGGUUUUCCUAAGUACUCUAGACCUGUAAAGAAGAAAUAAUAAGAAAAGUCCUUACCUCAUCCGCCAACCACCGACGACACAUGAACAAGUCUUUGAAAAAUUCCUUCGAUUUUUUUCUGUGAGAAGUUUCACGCACCUCAUCUUUCGUACGCUUGUCUGUAAUCCAAGCUCUAAGUCGAUCUAAAUUGGCGUCAGGUAUUUUGUGCAUAGGAUCAUAAACAGAUGGUUGAGACUGAGAGGUGGUGGUGGUUGAUUUCGUCGACCGUUUAAUUAAAGUUGUGAAGGGGGUUCACAAGUAAACACUUGCACGCUUGCUAUGUGCAGGCCGAACGUGUGGUUGUUGAGUGGAUAAGGGUUCUAUUUCCAUGAUGUCUAAAUCAAAAUGGGUAAGACUUUUUUCUCCAGUUUCCUCCUUGAAAUCGUCAACGACGUCUAUUGGCUCAUCCAAACCAAUAUGAACCUUCUUCUCUAACACGUCGAUUGUGUCAUCCUCCUUGCGGUCUCUUUUAACACCCUAUAGAAGGUCAAAUUGCAUUAGUAAGGAUAAUGAUAUAAACUAAGCAUCAAGAUUAGCUAUAUCAAAAUAAAGCAUUAGUAAAGAUGAUUUUUACCCCAUUACACAACUUUGAUUCCUAACCUUUUUUUGAAGUUCAACGUGUUUCACCCCAUUACUUGUGUCAUCCUCCUUUGGCAUCCUCAACCAAGAAGGGGUAACGGGUGUGUCAACAUCUUGGGUCUGGGCAUCAUGACCUUCAAAUCCUGUGCAGUCUCCUUCUUCACCCUUUGGAAAUGUCAAAAUGUAUUGGUAAGGAUAACUUUGAAAAUGUUAAUCAAACUUUACUUCCUAACCUUUCUUUGAAGUUCAAGGUGUUUCAAUAUAGUCGACAUAAUUGAUUUUAGGCUUCCACGUUCAUUCUCGAGAACCGCUACUCGGUAUUUGAGUUUCCGAACAACUUCUUUCAUCGUAGACUUCCACUUCUUUUUCUUACUCUUUUUACUCUUUUUGCAGUCAUCAUCAUCAUUACUACUUCUCUUGGUCGUUUUGAACCACCAUUAUUCUCAGAAACGAUGUUAGAUGGAUGGGGUUUGUCAAAAAGUUCUUCUGAAGACAUUCUUAGAUGCUCCUCUUCAGACGUCAUCUCAAUUACCGCAUUAAUUAUGAACUACAAAGCGGAAAAAUAAAUGUAGUUAGGCAAAACAAAAAGGAACAAAGUCAUGCAUACGGUAAGUUAGUUACUAUUGGUUGCUACUUACCAUGGACGAGUCAAACACCUGGCUCUGUAGGACAUGAGACUUUGGCGAUAGUUCGCACACCCACCUUAGCAUUCGUGGUAUGACAUUGUUGCUUACUUUAUGUACACCACAUUCAGUGAUGGUUGAUAUAAAUUCAUAUUCCCAAACCUAUUCCAUGUUCGACAAAACAAGUUUAGCAAGUGUCCCAAGAUAUAUGUAUAUAUAAAUAUGUGCAUAAGUUUGAAGUAGGAAGUAACAUAUCUGUAAUGCAUGCGGAAAUCCCACGACAAUAUAUUUUGUCUUAGUUGAUUUAUUCUUUCCCUUGGCAUGUUGCAUGUCCAAGGCUCGUUUUAAGAAAGAAAUUGUGCGUCCAAAAACCAACCGUCCACAAUCAUAAUUGUUAAAUGUGGUCCAAUCAUCUGCAAUCCUAAAUAAAGUUCGGUCCACUUUGGUCUGCCUAUCUUUUCCUAACAAUGACAACUCUAUAAAGUACACUAAAGCUAAUUUAACUAGGUCAUCAUCAUCGUCAUCCCCCUCGUAUUCCACAAAUGUGUCCUUUAAGUCACUUAUAUAAAUAAACUUUUUUCUUCAAAGAACUUUUCCAACAACCUACUAUUCCCAACCAAUUAAAUAGGCUCUGUUGGAGAACUCCAUAGACCUGUCAUGAUAUUAAACUCUCUCCUACCAAAAGUGCACACAACUCCCCCUAUCAUGAAACUGAUAUGAUCAUUCCUUUCAUCUUCCACCUCCCUUAACAAAAAGUAUUGGAUGAACGACCCAUUAAAGACUAUAUUAAGAUCCAAAAAGUGGCCAAACUUUCUAUUUCUAAAUAAGGUUAAUUGAUCCAGUUUCAAUUUAGCCUUUGUAUUAUGCGUACUAUUUUCUAAAUGAGAUAAACUGCUUACUAAAGCUUGAAAAUGAUGAGAAUGAUCAAUCUUGUACAUGAGACUGUCAGUUGAUGUCAAAGUCAUACUGAAGCCUGCACAAAAAACAAACAAAUCAAAUAUAAUUGCAUAAGAGACUUACUAAACAUGGAUGCAUUGAAAUUUGGAUAAGUGCGAGAUAGGUGCGAGAUAAAAAAAUUAAAGGCUAAUAAACUUGCUAACCCUAAACCCUUAAAGCCCAAUAAACUAGCUAAAUAUGCAUUCUAAACAAUUUAGAAAGGAUAGCAAUCUCAUUUUGAAACUCCUAGUGAAAUUUUGGUAGGUGCGAGAUAUAUGCAAGAUAGGUGCGAGAUAAAAUAUUAUGGCUCAAUAAACAUACAUAGGACCAUUAUAGACGGUUUAGGAAGGGUAGCAAUCUCAUUUUGAAACUUCUACUCAAAUUUUGGUACAUGCGAGAUAGAUGCGAGAAAAAAAAGUAAAGACCAAUAAACAUAUAUUGUAACACCUUUACUAAAAUGAGAUUGCUAGUGAGGGGUUGACAAGUUCAUAAGAGAGGGGUUGACAAGUCAUAAGAGGCUUACCAUAGCAAUAAACAUGUGAAAGGACAUGCUAAAUAAACAUAUGAUAGGGGGUUGACAAGUUCAUAAGAGGCUUACUAAAUCAAAUUGCUUGCACUCCUAAACAUAUAUUGUAACACCUUUACUAAAAUGAUUAAUAAAAGGAGGAAAGCUUACAAUUCUUAUGUUUAGGAACAAAACUAAUUGAAUCAUUUGUCUUCAAAUUCUCUCUAACAAAUGAAUCCUAAUUAAAUUGGUUUGGCAUAGGACGAAUUAAUAUGAGGAGAUGCUUGGUUAUACGAGGCAACAAAGAUUGUAUUUUAUUGGAACUACAUCACUAAAAACAUCAACAAAGUAGAGAACAACAAUGCAACUUUUGAUUAUAAUAAUGUGAUUAACUCUAAAAAUGAUAAUGUCUUUUAACAUUGUUCUACUGGUAGCUUUGCUGAGUUUAGAUGGGAUACCAAAUAUGCUGGAAUUCAUGUUCUAAACUCCAAGGUAUGUAUAUAUAUAUAUAUUACAGUACAUUGCAAAGGAAAUGGAAAUGGUUCUUCGUCCAAUAUGUUGCAUGCAUAUAUAUAAUAGAUUAUUAACCCAAUUAUCUAUUAUUACAAUACAUUGCAAAGGAAAUGGUUAUUCGUCCAAUAUGUUUAUUAAUUAUAUGGUUCUUCUUCCUAAAAAUAGAAUUCAUGUUCCCACGGCUCUCUAUGUAUGUGUGCCUGUAGGACAUAUGCAUUUCUUCUCUACAAAUUUAAUGGUAUAUCUAAGAUGCCUGACAAAAAACUCAGAUUUUAUUACUCACUUGACUUCAAAGAGGAUGGAUAUCGACACUGCCAACGGAGAGGAGUGGAGAAGAAAUGGAGAGGUCCGGUGAAAACAAAGUUGAAAUCGAAAAGGAGUGGGGAAGCGUUCACCGGAGUUGAAGUUGAAACUAAAACAGAGAGCCGUGAAGAAGAAAUGGAGAGGUUCGGUGAAAACGAAGUUGAAAUUGGAAAAGAGUGGAGAAGCUUUCACCGGAGUUGAAGUCGAAACAAGAAAAAUAGAGUCGUGGAGAAGAAAUGGAUGGAAGUGGAGAAGAAAUUGAUGGAAAAGAUGUUCACCAGAGGCACCGAAGUUGAAGGAAGUGUAGAAGCAGGAGAGUUCAAAAGCGGGAGAGUUGAAGUUCACGUUUUUUUUUAAUGUUGUUCUGUUUUUAGGUUGAAGAAAAGGAAAAAGGAAAGAGGAAAUGGGGAAAUUAAAUAAGGACAUUUUGGUCAAUUCACUCCAAAUUUGUCCUAAAUCUCAACUUUUUUAAAAUCAAUCAUAAAACUCCUUUUCUACUCCAUUUUUGGCCUAUUUUUGACAAUUUUUCAUAUAUAUUUAUGGAUGUUGAUAUUGGUUGACAUGGGUAUAUAAGUCAUGUUAUACUGUUGAAUAACAAGCCCUUCAUUUUCUAUUUCUAGAGAAUUCAUGUGCUUGGGAGUCCCUGAUGAUUAAUUAUUAAAUAAACCAAGAUUUUACCAUGACUGCAAUUUUAGAGAGACGCGAAAGCGAAAGCCUAUGGGGUCGUUUCUGUAACUGGAUAACCAACACUGAAAAUCGUCUUUACAUUGGAUGAUUUGGUGUUUUGAGGAUCCCUACCUUAUUGACCGCUACUUCUGUAUUUAUUAUUGCCAAUUCUAAUGUAUCUCUGUAUCGUUUACCCCUACAAAAUACCAAAAAAAAUUGAACGAUCUUAGAUUAGAAGGGAUAUAAUGAAAUUCCUUGAUUGGUUCUUCACUGAUAAAUUAUCCCUUUUAUUUGAUUUGACUGAUGCGGACAACAAACAAUUAUAACAAAUAUCAAAAUAUCCAAAUUUCUAACUAAUACUAGCUAAAUAUAAUAGCUAUAUAUUUAUACAAAAUAUAAAAAAUUCAUUCAUAUUUGAAAAUAUUUAUCAAAAGAAAAGUUUAAUAAUAGCAUAGCAGUUAAUAAUUAAAAUAAAGAAAAAAAAAAAAUAGAGUUUUCUUAUUUGAAACGCCUUGUGAUCUUCAACCAAUUUUGGGCUUCAAUAUAAUUACCGGGAGUAAGCGCUAUAGCUUGUUUCCAAUACUCAGCGGCUUGAUUGAACCAAGCCUCCGCAAUUUCAGAAUCUCCCUGUCGAAUGGCCUGUUCUCCCCGGUCGGAAUAGGCAGGUAAAUUCCUUCCCUUAGAACCGUACUUGAGAGUUUCCUACCUCAUACGGCUCAACAGUCAAUUCUUUUGCUGUCCCAUAUUUUAAAAAAUUUACCAUAUCUAAUCUAAUUGAAUGAAAUUUUUCAUAGAUCUAGGCCAUUUUUUUUUCUCGAGUUAAGCAAAAGAGGUUAAUUAUAUAAGUUUCAAACUUCAAUUUUGCUGAAUAAUUAAAUAAGUUUUAUCUUUUCUCCCACCUUCAGAAAAAUAAAGCAUAGGCAUUCCACCCACUAUCGUUACAAUUUUCUGAAAGAUAACUAUCUCGGUUUCAUCUAGAAAUUUAUAUAGAAUCCUUGAAAAAGACUUUCCUUCAUAAGAAAGAAAAGACUUACUGUCUUUGGGAUCUGAUGCUACACCGCUGCUCAAUAUUGUAGGGGAUCCACCCUAUUACAUAAGUGGAUUCCUUCAUUUUGAUCUUAUAUCAUGAUAUAAGUAAGCAGUUUUUAUUGUAUCGGCCAAAAACCUGACUAAUUGAUCUUUACGGUGCUUCUUCUAUCAAUUAGAUCCUUUAUCCAUAGAAUAAAGUAUCUAGGCAUACCUAUUUCUUCAUAUUUCUAUUUCUAUGAAGUUUCUUUCUUUGCUACAGCUGAUACAAAUCGUUAGUUUGGACAAUACAUAUGUAGAAAGCCUAUUUUUUUUUUAGUAUUUAUUAGCGAAUUUUCUCUUUUUUUUCUUUCUAUAGUGGAGAUAGUCGCACGUAAUGACAGAUCACAGCCAUAUUAUUAAAAGCUUGUGGUAAGAACGGGUUUCGUUCUAGUGCCCGAAAAUAAUAUUCCAAAGCUUUCGUAUGUUCUCCGUUCCUUGUGUGGAUAAGACCUAUGUUAUAGAGUAUAUAACUUCGAUCAUAGGGAUCGAUUUCUAGUCGCAUAGCUUCAUAAUAAUUCUGUAGAGCUUCCGCAUAAUUUCCUUCGGAUUGAGCCGACAUCCGUUACGGUCGUUCCUUAUUCCAUUCAAAGACUUCAAAGUACCAGAGAUUCCUAGAGGCAUACCGUCAGAAAAGCUUCCUUGACCAAUUGGGUAAAUCAAGAAAACAGCAGUAGCUGCUGCAACAGGAGCUGAAUAUGCAACAGCAAUCCAAGGACGCAUACCCAGACGGAAACUAAGUUCCCACUCUCGACCCAUGUAACAUGCUACACCAAGUAAGAAGUGUAGAACAAUUAGCUCAUAAGGACCACCGUUGUAUAACCAUUCAUCAACGGAAGCAGCUUCCCAAAUUGGGUAAAAGUGCAAACCGAUAGCUGCAGAGGUAGGGAUAAUAGCACCAGAAAUAAUAUUGUUUCCGUAAAGUAGAGAUCCAGAAACAGGUUCACGAAUACCAUCAAUAUCCACUGGAGGAGCAGCAAUGAAGGCAAUAAUAAAUACAGAAGUUGCGGUCAAUAAGGUAGGGAUCAUCAAAACACCAAACCAUCCAAUGUAAAGAUGAUUUAUGCUGGUUAUCCAGUUACAGAAACGACCCCAUAUGCUUUCGCUUUUGCGUCUCUCUAAAAUUGUAGUCAUGGUAAAAUCUUGGUUUAUUUAAUAAUUAAUCAUCAGGGACUUCCAAGCACAUGAAUUCUCUAGAAAUAGAAAAUGGUGAUAAUAGCUGCCAACCUUACCCGUAUACUAUUAUUGUCACCUCCUCACUUUUUUGAGGAUUUUAAAAAUUGGAAAAAAGAAAUAUAUGUAAAGUGCACAUAUAAUGCUAUUCCAUUAGCAGAAAACGAAUUUCCCCAAAAUUGGUUAACAGACGGUAUUCAAAUAAAGAUCUUAUUUCCUUUUCGUCUGCAAUCGUGGAACCGAGAAGAAAGUAUCAGCAACAACAGGUUUUAUUACGGGACAGCUCAUGAUGUUCAUAUCGAUCUAUUAUGCGCCUCUGCAUCUAGCAUUGGGUAGACCUUAUACAAUAACUGUCCUAGCUCUACCGUAUCUUUUGUUUCAUUUCUUCUGGACCAAUCCCAAACACUUUUUUUAUUAUGGAUCUACUACCAGAAACUCAAUGCGUAAUCUUAGCAUUCAAUGUGUAUUCCUGAAUAAUCUCAUUUUUCAAUUAUUCAACCAUUUCAUUUUACCAAGUUCAAUGUUAGUCAGAUUAGUCAACAUUUCUAUGUUUCGAUGCAACAACAAGAUGUUAUUUGUAACAAGUAGUUUUGUUGGUUGGUUAAUUGGUCACAUUUUAUUCAUGAAAUCGGUUGGAUUGAUAUUAGUCUGGAUACAGCAAAAUAAUUCUAUUAUAUCUAAGAAGUACAUUAGAUCUAAUAAGUACCUUGUGUCAGAAUUCAGAAAUUCUAUGCUCCAAUCUUUAGUAUUAUCUUAUUUAUUACCUGGGUCUACUAUUUAGGCAGAAUACCGUCACCCAUUCAACUGAAAGAAACCUCAAAAACCUCAGAAACGGCGGAAACGGAGGAAAGCGAGGAAGAAACAGAUGUAGAAAUAGAAACCACUUCCGAAACGAAGGGGACUAAACAGGAACAAGAGGGAUCCACCGAAGAAGAUACUUCUCCUUCCCUUUUUUCGGAAGAAAAGGAGGAUCCGGACAAAAUCAAUGAAACAAAAGAGAUCUGAAUAGAUAAAAAGGAAAAAUAUCUCUUCGGGUUUGAAAAAUCUCUUGAGACUAUCCUUUUCGACUAUAAACGAUGGAAUCGUCCAUUUCGAUAUAUAAAGAAUGAUAAAUUUGACAAUGCUGUUAGAAAAGAAAUGUCACAAUAUUUUUUUUAUACAUGUCAAAGUGACGGAAAAGACCGAAUAGUUUUUACAUAUCCACCUAGUGUAGCAACUUUUUUCGAACUGAUAGAAAAAAAGAUAUCUUUGUUUUCAACAGAAAAACUUUUUUAUGAUGAAUUCGAUAAUCCUUGGAAGUCUUUGAAUGAACAAAAAAAAAGAAUUUUAAACAAAAUAGUUAUAACUAGAAUUCUACUUCUCGAUAAGGGAUCCCCAACUCUAGUUGGAGAUGUACUGCAAAAAAGGACUCAAUUAUGUAAUGAUCAAACUAAAAAAGAAUAUUUACCAAAAAUAUAUGAUCCGUUGUUGAGUGGUCCUUACCAGAGAUGAAUCAAUUUAUGUUUAGGAUUCUCAAUACUAAAUGAAACUUCUAGAAAAAAUGAUAGUGAGAACAUUUGGACAAAUAAGAUUCAUGCUAUUGUUCAUAAUAAUAACAACUGUUUCUUCGAUGGAGUUACAAUUCCUUACAAGGCUAACGCAAGUGAUCAAAACUCGAUUGAAUUAACAGAAAUCAGUAAAAAAAUUUCCUCGCUGGUCAUACAAGUUAAUCAAGGAGAUAGAACAAGUGUACGACAUAACCGAUGGAGAGCUCGUGUUAGAUUAUCAAAUUCGUUCAAGAAAAUGCAAACGUGUAGUAAUUUUAAGUGACCUUAACAAAAUUAAGAAGAUUUCUACUUCUACUUCGACUAAUGAGAUUAAGUCGAAGGACGAACCAAAGGACGAACCAAUGGAACAGGCUAUUAUACGCUAUGCCAAGCAAUGGGAUUUUCGUCGAGAGAUAAUCAAAGGCUCUAUGCGUGCUCAACGACGUAAAAUGGGUAUUUAUCAACUGUUUCAAGGUGCAAAUUCUUAUCUUUUCUUGGACAGACACAAUUUUUUUUUUUCUGAUUUUUGUAUUUAUAUUCCUAGACUAAUGGAAAAACUUGAUAGACUUCGGAUACGGACACCUCAUUUUUUUCGUAUGUUUGUCUGUAAUGAAUAAUUGUAAAUUCAAGUAACAAUUCAUACAUCUUUGUCACUUUAUUUUUGAUUUUAGGGAAAGAUUCUUGAGUCUCUUAAGUUAAAUAAACUAGGCAGAAAAUGCUGAUAUGUAUGUAUUGUUAUUAUCUAUUUUUAUCGUUUUAUUUCUUUUUUUUUUUUUUACAAAAAUUUAGUCAAAUAAUAAUAUUGAGGUAGUAAAAUUUCAAUCAAGUAAAUCUUUUUAAUGAUUUCUUAUGAGUCCUUGGUACUCGAAGAAGUGUGAAACUCGUGAAUCCAUUCUAUGAAGAAAUUGAAAAAUGGAGAUUCUUAAUUAUUCGUAAUUAAUUAUUUCUUAAUUUAUUUUAUAGAAAUUCCCAAAAAUCUCUCCAUAUUUCUAUUAUAUAGAAAAUAUCUAUAUAUAGAGAAAUAAAUAUUGCACUCAUACAAAAAAAAUGUUAUUGAUCCAAUAUAUACAAUAAAAUAUGGGUUUAAAUAAAUUGAAGUAUUGCUAAGACUUUUUCAAAAACUACCCAUGUCAUAAGAGUAUAGAUUACUAUGGACCAACUAACCCAAUGACUAUACAUGAUUCCAUAAAUGAAUCAAUUACAUACCAGUUCCAAGAAAUUAGAGGUUAUGGUAAAACUUCGUUUAAAACGAUGUGGUAGAAAGCAACGUGCGACUUGAAGGACAUGAUCCACUGUGGAUUCUUACACCCACCAUUUUUAGGAAUGAAGAUGCUCUUGACUCGACAUAGUUUGUUCGGUUGCACUGAGCUCUGUUUUUUUUAGGGUUUUGAUGUAACAUAGUACAUGAUGGAGCUCGAGUAGAAAGUAUUGAUUCAUUUAUCAAGGGCAGAGAUCUAGGGUUAGUGUCAAUCAAUAAGUUAAAACUACUUCGUAAGUAUAGGUUCGGUAUACAAAUCGAAAGGAUCCAAUUCGAACAAGUUUCAAAUUCAAACAUAAAAUUUGAUCAAAAGUGUAUCACACGAGAAUCCAUUAUUUAUAUGAUUCUUUGAUAAAAAGAAAUCACAAAAAAAUGGUAUGUUGCUACCAUUUUGAAACGAUUAAAGAUCACCGAAGUAAUGUCUAAACCCAAUGAUUCAAGGCAAGGAUAAAGGAUCCCGGAACAAGUAAAAAUCUUUUUCAAUUGUCUCAAUAACUAAACUAGAUCAGAAUGAAGAAUCGAAAUAGAUUCUAACGGAGACAGGCAAAAAUAAAGAGGUUAGAGACCGCUCAAUAAAUGAAAUGCUUAAGCUUAAGGUUUUUUUCCUUUGCGUGAGAGUUAUCCAACUUGAGUUAUGGGGAUAAGAAUGAGUUUUUUUUUUCAAAAGAAAAAAUUAUUUAAAUCAUAGUCUAAUUGAUUUAAUAAUCUAUGGAUCUAUUUGACAUUAAUUAGAAUUCUAUACAUAACUUUGAAUUUCCUCGAGCCGUACGAGGAGAAAACUUCUUAUACGGUUCUGGGGGGGGUAUUGUUAAUUUACAUCUAUCCCAAUGAGCUGUUUAUCGAAUCAUUGCAAUUGAUGUUCGAUCCCGAAGAGAAGGAAGAGAUCUUCGUAAAGUGGGUUUUUAUGAUCCGAUAAAGAAUCAAACCUAUUUAAAUGUUCCUGCGAUUCUAUAUUUCCUUGAAAAGGGUGCUCAACCUACAGGAACUGUUCAUGAUAUUUUAAAGAAGGCAGGUGUUUUUACGGAACUUCACCUUAAUCAAUAACCGAAAUUCCAUUAAUAUUAAUAAACGAGGGUGUGGAUAACUUAACUUGUAUAUAGCUUUGACUAACCUUUUCUUUAGUAUUUCCCCCCUCUCUUGUUCUAUUCUUCCUAUACAUAUUAUCUUAAAGAAAAUAUUAACAAGAUAUUGAGGAAUUGUCCAUACGUAAAAUCAUAAUUAUUGAUACGGGUCUUUUCCAUGUAAUACACAUAAAAUAGGGAAUCUUUUGUUACAAUAGAAGCGGAAGUGAUGUGGAUUAUUCAAGAAUUGAAGUCGAGUUGCUUUAUAAAAAGAAGAUAUCAAUAAACUUCUAUGAAAUGGUUUCACGGGAUUUAGCCACUUGUCUUGAUCGUGGGAUAUCAUUGAGAAAUAGGACUUCGUGUUAUCAAGGGAUUUCUUGCGAUUAUUUCUAGUAUGGAAUGAGUCAAUCAUCCACUUUGGUAUCUUAUUGAACAAAAAUGGUGAUAUUGUUCCUCCAUUGAUCAAGAAUUUUGAUUUUUGGGAAGUAUAAUGACCAUCCAAUAAGAAGGGUUUCAAUUUUUUCAAAUAAACGAUUUGAAGACCUAUUGAUUCUAACAACUGAUUGCAGAGUCGAUUAUUCGAACCUUUCAAUUCAUAAAUGUGGGUCCGGACUAUUAUUGGUUGAUAGAGAAUCAAAGUUGAUUUACCAAUGAAUUGCGAAAUGCUAUGGUUCUUCAAUAUGAUUUCUUCAUUUUGUCAAAAGUAAUUCGCUGGAUCAUGCACCUUUUCGUAGUUAUAACUAGAAAAGUACAGUUGGUUGUAUCCAACUUAUUCUUGAAAUAAACAACUCGCACACACUCCCUUUCCAAAAAAAAUCAAUACACCAAGCACUACGCUUAGAUUUAUUGGAUUUGUUGCUAAAAUAUCGGUAUUAAAUCCGAAACUCUCGGCGGAUGGCCAAUAACCCAAAGAAAUGAAAGAAUCGGUUACAUUUUUCAUAUGAUCUCCUUUUAUAGAUAAAACUAAUUAUCUAUUUCUUUCUAUUUCUUUUAUUUUUUAUUAAUUUAAAAUAUGUUGUAAGAAUCCUAAAAAAAAAGUUCCAUUCGAGAUUGGACUAAGAAAGGGAAGGAAGAAGGCGAGUCAGUAUGCUAAUGCCUCAUCCUCAAAUCAAUCCUUCCCAUAAGUUAUUGUCCCAACGAAUAAGUAAUUGUCGGAGUGAAAGCUUCAUAUAAUUCGAAAAAGCAGCAAGAGCAGCAAAUCCAAGUAAAUAAAAUACGAAAAAAAAUACGUAAUUUUUUUAGGAUUAAACAAAAGGAUUCGCAAAUAAAAGUGCUAAUGCUACAACCAGUCCAUAAAUUGUUAAAGCUUCCAUAAAAGCCAGACUAAGCAAUAAAGUACCUCGGAUUUUUCCCUCCGCCUCGGGUUGUCUCGCGAUCCCUUCUACAGCUUGGCCCGCAGCAGUACCUUAACCAAUCCCAGGUCCAAUAGAAGGAAGCCCGACGACCAACCCAGCAACAAUAACAGAAGAGGCAGAAAUCAGUGGAUUCAUGAUAAGUUCCUCAUACUAAAAUAAAAGAAAGAAAUGGUUAAUGAUACAAUGAACCAAUGAAUUAUAACUUAUUAUUCCAUCACUAAGAUUUAUCCAACUAAAAAUUACGAAUUGAAGUAAUAAUAUUAUUGAAUCGUUCAAACUACUUCAAUCUCUCUUUUUUAGUUCCUAUCCAUCCACGUCCUUUUUGUGAA
rnacentral:lncRNA from 1 species